GACGAACCGUGCGAACGUUAUUCGGAAUCACUGGGCUUAAAGCGCGUGUAGGCGGGACGGCACGUCGGUCGCUGAAAUCCCCCGGCUCAACCGGGGAACGGGCGCCGAUAAGACCGCCCUGGAGGGGCGUAGGGGGACCUGGAACUUCCGGUGGAGCGGUGAAAUGCGUUGAGAUCGGAAGGAACGCCCGUGGCGAAAGCGAGGUCCUGGACGCUUACUGACGCUGAGACGCGAAAGCCAGGGGAGCGAACGGG
rnacentral:rRNA from 1 species